UAGCAUCAGCGCAAACCCUAGAACUUGGCCACACACACGCUUCUUUUUAAGUAGAAGCAAGCAAUAGAGGAAGCUCAAACCUCAAAAGCCACAGCCGUCUCUGAAUAGAAGAUGAAAUUGAGGGGGGACUGUGAUGAUUUCUGUGAUAGGUCUCGUUCGUCGUAAUGGCAUCUUUGCCUUGCCGACCAUCCUGUUAUAUCACCACCCAUAUUCUGAGUCCCAUCUAAGUAAGCAAGCAAGCGGAUAGCAAUCUAAUAAGUAAUUCUAAUUUUUGAAGUAAAGGGUGUUAAUUUUUUACGCUUUUCGUUCAUUUUUUUCCUGUUCUGUUCUAUGAUAUCUAGGUUAAAUUUAAUGUAUCCUUUGUUUCUCUUUUAUCAUUGUCUUACUUGGUUCUUUUAAAGAAUCUGUGUUCUACUGUGUGCAGUAGAAUGAUGCAAUUGCAAAAAUAUGUUGGUUUGGCUCCCUGAGCUGUUUUUAUAUCUUUACUUGUUAACCAUUGAUAUUGCUUAUUACAAAUUUUCCUGCGAAGCACCUCCUUAUUGUAAUAUGACUAGUUGCGGAUAUGGUAAUUGGAUUGAAGCAAAUAAAUCCUAGAAAGAAAAGAGGCUUUUGUACCAAGUUCAUUAGUUUGAGGGAUACCAAACCAAGUUGUAUCACUCCUUUUCAGUUUGGAAGUCUAUUAAUACGGUUACAUAUAGUUAUAAACUCUUAAUUUUUCUAGAAUUAGUCAAGUUAUUCUGUAUCAGAUCUCAGUAUUGUGCCACUGCUGAUUCAGAUUUUAUUUCAAAUUUAGUUUCCUUUUAAUUA